ACAUCAUUUUUAUAAAGCGAAGAUUUCUCGUUGUUUUAUGUGAAUCCGUGCACUUUUGCACAAUUUCAAGACCUGGCACCAUUUAAUGUUUUUUGUAUAAAAGAAAGGCGCCUACUAGACCGUUGUAUGUAAAUGUGAUAAUUUUACUAUCGCUGGUUACUUGCCGGCUACUCGUUUAAUUAGGAGGCAACAACUUGAGUCAGGGAACAGUCAAAUGGUUUAAUGCGACAAAGGGCUAUGGAUUUAUCACCAGCGACGAAGGUAAAGACGUGUUCGUUCACUUCAGCUCUAUUCAGGGUGAUGGCUUUAAAACUCUUGAUGAGGGUCAGAGAGUUACAUUUGAAGUGACAGCUGGCGCUAAAGGUGACCAGGCAGCAAACGUAGUCAAGCUUUAAGACUCAGCUGAGUAUAAAAACGGCCUCUUUCGAGGCCGUUUUUUUG
rnacentral:other from 1 species